UGGGGGCUCCUAUAAUGCAAGUCGAACGAACUCUGGUAUUGAUUGGUGCUUGCAUCAUGAUUUACAUUUGAGUGAGUGGCGAACUGGUGAGUAACACGUGGGAAACCUGCCCAGAAGCGGGGGAUAACACCUGGAAACAGAUGCUAAUACCGCAUAACAACUUGGACCGCAUGGUCCGAGUUUGAAAGAUGGCUUCGGCUAUCACUUUUGGAUGGUCCCGCGGCGUAUUAGCUAGAUGGUGGGGUAACGGCUCACCAUGGCAAUGAUACGUAGCCGACCUGAGAGGGUAAUCGGCCACAUUGGGACUGAGACACGGCCCAAACUCCUACGGGAGGCAGCAGUAGGGAAUCUUCCACAAUGGACGAAAGUCUGAUGGAGCAACGCCGCGUGAGUGAAGAAGGGUUUCGGCUCGUAAAACUCUGUUGUUAAAGAAGAACAUAUCUGAGAGUAACUGUUCAGGUAUUGACGGUAUUUAACCAGAAAGCCACGGCUAACUACGUGCCAGCAGCCGCGGUAAUACGUAGGUGGCAAGCGUUGUCCGGAUUUAUUGGGCGUAAAGCGAGCGCAGGCGGUUUUUUAAGUCUGAUGUGAAAGCCUUCGGCUCAACCGAAGAAGUGCAUCGGAAACUGGGAAACUUGAGUGCAGAAGAGGACAGUGGAACUCCAUGUGUAGCGGUGAAAUGCGUAGAUAUAUGGAAGAACACCAGUGGCGAAGGCGGCUGUCUGGUCUGUAACUGACGCUGAGGCUCGAAAGUAUGGGUAGCAAACAGGAUUAGAUACCCUGGUAGUCCAUACCGUAAACGAUGAAUGCUAAGUGUUGGAGGGUUUCCGCCCUUCAGUGCUGCAGCUAACGCAUUAAGCAUUCCGCCUGGGGAGUACGGCCGCAAGGCUGAAACUCAAAGGAAUUGACGGGGGCCCGCACAAGCGGUGGAGCAUGUGGUUUAAUUCGAAGCUACGCGAAGAACCUUACCAGGUCUUGACAUACUAUGCAAUUCUAAGAGAUUAGACGUUCCCUUCGGGGACAUGGAUACAGGUGGUGCAUGGUGUCGUCAGCUCGUGUCGUGAGAUGUUGGGUUAAGUCCGGCAACGAGCGCAACCCUAAUAUCAGUGCCAGCAUUAGUUGGCACUCUGGUGAGACUGCCGGUGACAACCGGAGGAAGUGUG
rnacentral:rRNA from 1 species